UUCCAUGAUGAACAAGAGCCUUAGCUCUAUAAUCCCAGCUCGUCGAAAGCGGCCUCGUUAUACAUCUCACGUUGGAGGCCGUUAUGAGAGGAAGUCCUACCUGAACCC
rnacentral:snoRNA from 1 species